rnacentral:rRNA from 1 species
AACGAACGCUGGCGGCAGGCCUAACACAUGCAAGUCGAACGCCCUAGCAAUAGGGAGUGGCAGACGGGUGAGUAACGCGUGGGAACGUGCCUUUCGGUUCGGAAUAGCUCAGGGAAACUUGAGCUAAUACCGGAUACGCCCUUCGGGGGAAAGAUUUAUUGCCGAAAGAUCGGCCCGCGUCCGAUUAGCUAGUUGGUGAGGUAAAGGCUCACCAAGGCGACGAUCGGUAGCUGGUCUGAGAGGAUGAUCAGCCACACUGGGACUGAGACACGGCCCAGACUCCUACGGGAGACAGCAGUGGGGAAUAUUGGACAAUGGGCGCAAGCCUGAUCCAGCCAUGCCGCGUGAGUGAUGAAGGCCCUAGGGUUGUAAAGCUCUUUCGCCAGGGACGAUAAUGACGGUACCUGGAUAAGAAGCCCCGGCUAACUUCGUGCCAGCAGCCGCCGUAA